CAUAAAGUAAGCUAACUAAGCUUUUGGGCUCAUAUUCCAAAAAUAGGGGUUAAACUCUCCUCUUUAUUA
rnacentral:tRNA from 1 species